UCAGCCAUGCUCCUGCUGCUCAUCUCAGUGCUUGAGGGGAUUUCUGCCCCAAGAGGAACUGGAGCCCAGUCGGUGACGCAGCCUGAUGCCCACGUCACUGUUUCUGAAGAAGCUUUUCUGGAGCUGAGAUGCAACUAUUCUUAUGGUGGAGCUCCUUAUCUCUACUGGUACGUGCAGCACCCCAACCAAGGCCUCCAGCUUCUCCUCCAGUACGUAUCAGGGAACACCAAGGUUCAAGGUCCCAAAGGUUUCGAGGCUGAAUUUAAGGACAGUGAAACCUCUUUCCACCUGAAGAAACCCUCAGCCCAUUGGAACGACUCAGCUGUGUACUUCUGCGCUGUGAGUGACACAGUGCCUGGGACUGCAGGGGGAGCUGAACACAAACCUCCUGAGACACUGGGACUUCUUGUGACCAAGAACUCAAGACAGAGUUUUCCAAGAUCUCCUUUUCGGUGA